UUUGAUGAUAAUCUUUUCAUUUUAAAUAAUGUGGAAUUUUUUCCCCUUUGUUCAAAAAGGGCACUACAAAGGGAUUAAGUCCAUCCCGCUUGCCUUUCCAUUGAUCAUCUUUCUGAACCCUUGUGCUGUCCUGGUGGGUUUCCAAACUUUGAAGCCGCCUCUGCGUGUCUCAUUAUUGUCACCGGGCAUUUGAAAUUUUAUUCCAAGUUCAUUUUAAAGCAAGGCAGUAUGAGAGGUAUUCAGAAAUUAGCCAUGCUGGUGGGAGAUACUUCCUUAGGGGCUUUGUCUCCUCUCCUUCCCCUUGCAACUCCUCCACACAAAUGAAGAGAAGAAUGGGUUCCUUGGGGGUCGGUCCCCCCACUUGCUCCUUGCAUGAAACUCCAAUUACCAUUAAAAGAAGUUAACUUUUACAUAUCCACAGAAGAAUAGAUCAACCCCUAUGAGUGAUAAAAUAGAAUAAUUGUGUUCAAGAAUGAAGAGUGGAAAGUCCUUGAUUUUAUUUACAAAUCAUGAACUUAUUUUAGGAACUAAUUCCUAGAAGCUUGUUUUGUUGGGAUGGUGCAACAUUAGAAAUUUCUUGUUAGUUGGCACUGUAGAUAGCAGACUGAUUUUCUGUCCCAGAAAUAUAAUUCUGAGGGACUGGAAAAGUGCUGCACCUAACUUUUAAACUCUGGAGAGAAAGAUGCAUAUUGAUUGAACACCCAGCCAUCAGACCACUUAAGAAAAGGAGAAGCCCAAAUCAUGUUUAAUAUGCUGGAAUUUUAUUUAUGUAACUUAGUGGGGUCACUAAUGGAAAUUUCCUAGCUUGGAUGAUUUCUGACCUUUAAUUUUGCUCCAAAAGAAAACCAAGGUUGAAAUGCUUUGCUCUUUUCUCUUCUGUCUUCAUCAUUCUACCUGUUGUUUUUAUCCUCUGGUUUGGUAUAGUUUAGAAAGGUAUCUGAGGGAAAGAAGACAUUGAUGGAGAAACUCAUUACUUUCUCUAAAGUAAGCCAUUUGCAGCAAAGCUUAUUCUUCUUGCUACCUCAUUUAUUGCCUUAGCAUGAGGUUUUCAGCUGUUCUCAAGAAAAAGUGAUUCUCAAGUAAUCUGUAUUGCAACCGGAAAUCUUUUUCUUAUUUGUGAUAGUAAAUAUAAAAAUUGUGCUCCAGUGAGGGUGGCAGGGUUCUGUUUUGUUUUAGUAUCUGUGUGUGUGUGUGUGUGUGUGUGUGCAUGCGCUAACAUUUAAAAAUCAAAGCCAAGCAGACCAACCUUUUUAUGUGAGUUGUGUUUAUGUGACCUAAUUUGUGCAGCAGUUAUUUUAUAGCUGAGAAUUUAUACGCUAAAGGUGGUGCUAAUUGUGGUCUUUUAAUAGGUAUAUAAAAGGAAAACAGAAGCUGCCAAAAAAGAAUACCUGAAGGCCCUGGCGGCAUACAGGGCCAGCCUCGUUUCUAAGGCUGCUGCUGAGUCAGCAGAAGCCCAGACCAUCCGUUCUGUUCAGCAGACCCUGGCGUCGACCAAUCUAACAUCCUCUCUCCUUCUCAACACUCCACUGUCUCAACAUGGAACAGUGUCAGCAUCACCUCAGACUCUCCAGCAAUCCCUCCCUAGGUCAAUUGCUCCCAAACCCUUAACCAUGAGACUCCCCAUGAACCAGAUUGUCACAUCAGUCACCAUUGCAGCCAACAUGCCCUCGAACAUUGGGGCUCCACUGAUAAGCUCCAUGGGAACGACCAUGGUUGGCUCAGCACCCUCCACCCAAGUGAGUCCUUCGGUGCAAACCCAGCAGCAUCAGAUGCAAUUGCAGCAGCAGCAGCAGCAGCAGCAACAACAACAGAUGCAACAGAUGCAGCAGCAGCAACUCCAGCAGCACCAAAUGCAUCAGCAAAUCCAGCAGCAGAUGCAGCAGCAGCAUUUCCAGCACCACAUGCAGCAGCACCUGCAGCAGCAGCAGCAGCAUCUCCAGCAGCAAAUUAAUCAACAGCAGCUGCAGCAGCAGCUGCAGCAGCGCCUCCAGCUGCAGCAGCUGCAACACAUGCAGCACCAGUCUCAGCCUUCUCCUCGGCAGCACUCCCCCGUCGCCUCUCAGAUAACAUCCCCCAUCCCUGCCAUCGGGAGCCCCCAGCCAGCCUCUCAGCAGCACCAGUCGCAAAUACAGUCUCAGACACAGACUCAAGUAUUAUCACAGGUCAGUAUUUUCUGAAGACGCAUGUGGCAGAUGGAUUUGCUUAUACCGAGGAGAGUGGCAUAGGAGGGAAAAGCAUAUGUGGCUGAAACCUGUAAGUUGGUGUUGGUUAUGCAGAAAUGUGUAACAGAUCAAACGGUCCUCUCAAGUGUCUAUUAGAUAGGCAAUAAGAACUACAGUGUAGCUGAGUAACAUCUUUUAGCUGACUAUAAAUCACUUUGUUUUUAAACAAGAAAAGCUGUGCUCUUUUAUGUGAUGCCUUUUUUAUUUAUUCAGGCUAUACCUACAAUAUGUGAAUCAAACUGUUCAAUGAAUCCUGGGACAUAUUGAUGACUAUAAACUGGCCUCUCUGAGUCAUAGAAAAAUGGCCUUAUUUCUCCAGAAGUGAGUAAACCACACUUCCAGGCUGUCUGAACUUCUGAAGCCCUAAAAAUAAAAAGCACAGUUGUAACUACCUGAAAUAUGAAGAUCCAGUUUCAUACAAACAUUUGUAUGACGUGAAUAGUUGAUGGCAUUUUUUUGUCAUGAAAAAAAAUAAUGUAAAUCACAGACUUUUGCCAAAGCUCUUAUUUUUUUUUCUAAAUCUCUCCAGAAAGAAAAUGCAAGUGAUUAAAUUCAAUUAUUGACUAAUUUCCACUUUUUAUCCAUGACUUCUCCAAAUCAAACCACAGUAUAUGUUGUAACAAUAUCUAUGACCACUGUUAGCCCAUUAUAUUCAUUCCAAUUAGAAGAAAAGAAAUGUGAAUAUUAUAUUCCGUGUUUUGAGUGACAAGUUUCGAAAAAUAAAAACACUGUAUUUUUAAAAGGGAAAUGCACUUAAAUGAAAACAGUUAUUACAAAAGUUAAGAUUUAAAAAGAAAAAGCAAGAGUUUUUAUUAUGAUGUAAUACCAGUAGAAUAUUUAAAAGGCACACCACAUCUGAAUAAUCAAUGUAAAUAUUUUCUUUCAAAGUUGUAAGUUUUCAUAUCAUGUGCUGUAAAGUUUUCCUAAAUGAGGCUUUAACGUAAACACUGGUGACAUAAACCAUUCAUUGCUACGUUGCUUAUUGUGUUUUUAUGCUGUUUUAUACUUUUUUAUGAGUUAUGAUAGCAGCAAUUAAGUUGUUUGUAUUUUGCUUAACUAAAACAAAAAUGCUUUUAUCUUGCUAUAGAAUAAACACAUUUCAGUAAAAACUGUGGACUGUAUUUUGAUGCAACAACAAGGAAACUGUUCACUUUUCAAAUAAAAUGAUAUGUCAGAUUUC
rnacentral:sRNA from 1 species